GAAAGACAGGCAUUUGUUUUCUUUUUUUCUUGUCUUUUCUGAUUCGUUCCUCUCUCUUUUUUUUUCUUUUUUUUUUUUUUU
rnacentral:ribozyme from 1 species